AUGCUCAUUCUCCAUCAGCGUGCUCCGUCUGUCUGGGGGAAGGAUUUUGUUGACUGCAAUUUGAAACUUCCGUCGAAUUUAAGGGGUAGUGGCAACUCAGACAGCAGCUUAUACACCUGUGUUCCUGCGAUGCUCUUUCCGUCACAGCCCUGGGCAGCUUUUUGGACCUUUUGGCUGCCAUCCUUUUCCAGCCGAGAAGCUUUUCUUCUGUUUUAUGCUACCACCACCUGCUGUCCUGUUCCUACCACACAGAAACUCGUCUCCCCUUUUCCCAAAGGAACGAAUCUGACUGCAAGGCCACGAUAGGAAUAUCUUUCAGGGAGAUUAAGCAAUGACACAACUUUUCGAGGCUUAAUUUUAAAAGCACAGACUUUUAAAAUGAACGUGUUAUUUUAAAUGCCUGUAAAGAAAGUACUUUUCUUUUAGUCAUGUGAUGAUAAAGGGCUGAAUAUGAUUUUCACCAUGGCAAGAGGAAACGAUCGGAUGGGUGAUCCUUUUCAUUUAUUUUUAUUUAACAAACAUUUAAAUCGUGUUUAGUAUAUGUCGGGCACUAUUUUAAGUUCUCUAUCAGGAUAAGUCUUGUAAUCCUUAUAACAACCCUGUGAAGUAGGUUCUAUUAUUAUUCCCAUUUUGGAGAUGAGAGACCCAAGGCACAAAGAGGUCAAAUAACAUGCUCAGGGUUGCUGUAGUGGGUUACGUUCGUGUUUAAAAUAUUAGAUGCUCCUCCCUGUUGGCAUCAGUCUCAGCUAUGUUACUUGCAGUGCUUUCCUUUCUCCAUGUACAUUCGGCCUGACCGGGUGACUGGCAUUGUCCUAUGACAUCUGAACAGAGCAAAAGGUUCCGAGCAAAAGCCUUUUUUUAAAAAAAAGUCAGCUCAGAGUCCACCAUGUUCUUCCCUUCUUUAUCCAGGAAAGCAGUAGUGUUUGAGAGAGGGGAUGUUCUUUCAUAUUGGAUUUGAGAAUAAAGACAGAUGGAGCGGAACUGGAGCUGACCCC
rnacentral:lncRNA from 1 species